CGCAAGGUGCAUGGCAGACGGGUGAGUAACACGUGGGGAAUCUACCUUUUAGUGGGGAAUAACGCUCCGAAAGGAGUGGUAAUACCGCAUGAGACCGCGAUCUGGGAUGGUUGUGGUGAAACCUGGGGACCGAAAGGCCUGGGGCUAGAAGAGGAUCCUGCGUCUGAUUAGCUAGUUGGCGGGGUAAUGGCCCACCAAGGCGACGAUCAGUAGCCGGCCUGAGAGGGUGAUCGGCCACACUGGAACUGAGACACGGUCCAGACUCCUACGGGAGGCAGCAGUGGGGAAUUUUGCGCAAUGGACGAAAGUCUGACGCAGCAACGCCGCGUGGGUGAUGAAGGUCUUCGGACUGUAAAACCCUGUCGUCAGGGACGAAGGUGGCGGGACUAAUAAUCCUGUUGCUUGACGGUACCUGGAGAGGAAGCCCCGGCUAACUCUGUGCCAGCAGCCGCGGUAAUACAGAGGGGGCAAGCGUUAUUCGGAAUUAUUGGGCGUAAAGGGCGCGUAGGCGGUUUUUUAAGUCAGAUGUGUAAUCCCCGAGCUCAACUUGGGAACUGCAUCUGAGACUGGAAGGCUAGAGUACUGGAGAGGGUGGUGGAAUUCCUCGUGUAGCGGUGAAAUGCGUAGAGAUGAGGAGGAACACCAGUGGCGAAGGCGGCCACCUGGACAGUAACUGACGCUGAGGCGCGAAAGUGUGGGUAGCAAACAGGAUUAGAUACCCUGGUAGUCCACGCUGUAAACGAUGAACACUUGGUGUGGAGGGAGUUGACCCC
rnacentral:rRNA from 1 species